rnacentral:rRNA from 1 species
CAAUAGCGUAUAUUAAAGUUGUUGCAGUUAAAACGCUCGUAGUUGGAUCUUGGAGUGUGACGAACUCAGUCCACCUAGAGGUGAGAACGGGUUCGUCCACUCUUCCCUUCUGGAUACUCCCGGGUGUUCUUAAUUGAGCUCCCGGAGACGGCGUCGUUUACGCGGCGCUUGGGUUCCAGAUCGUUUACUUUGAGGAAAUUAGAGUGUUCAAAGCAGGCGUUCGCCUUUGAAUACUGCAGCACGGGAUAAUGGAACAGGACUGGGGUUCUGUUUUGUUGGUUUAUUGAACCACAGUAAUGAUAAAUAGGGACAGUUGGGGCCAUUUGUAUUCCAUUGUCAGAGGUGAAAUUCUGGGAUUUAUGGAAGACAAACUUCUGCGAAAGCAUUUGGCAAGGAUGUUUUCAUUAA